GAUUUAUAAAGAAGUGGCGAGAGAUCAGGCUCAUUAACCCACUGGCAACCCUCCUAAACGGGAGAAGGUGCCAAAUCCUGGCCCGGCGAAAUGGAUUGCCGGGGAAUAUAAAUG
rnacentral:ncRNA from 2 species